rnacentral:rRNA from 1 species
GAUGAACGCUAGCUACAGGCUUAACACAUGCAAGUCGAGGGGUAACGAGAGGGAAGCUUGCUUUCCUUGUCGACGACCGGCGCACGGGUGAGUAACGCGUAUCCAACCUGCCCCCAACUAGGGAAUAACCUUGCGAAAGUAAGACUAAUACCCUAUAAUUUCCUCAGAUGUCAUCUGACGAGGAAUAAAGAUUUAUCGGUUGCGGAUGGGGAUGCGUCUGAUUAGCUUGUUGGCGGGGUAACGGCCCACCAAGGCAACGAUCAGUAGGGGUUCUGGGAGGAAGGUCCCCCACAUUGGAACUGAAACACGGUCCAAACUCCUACGGGAGGCAGCAGUGAGGAAUAUUGGUCAAUGGGCGGAAGCCUGAACCAGCCAAGUAGCGUGCAGGAUGACGGCCCUAUGGGUUGUAAACUGCUUUUAUACAGGAAUAAAGUUAGCCACGUGUGGUUAUUUGUAGGUACUGUAUGAAUAAGGACCGGCUAAUUCCGUGCCAGCCGCCGCAGUAA